UUUUCAGCAACGGUUUUCUUCAUGCCUUCUUGCUUUUCUCUGAGACUUUGUAGGAGCUUCCAGUCAACAAAAGAAGUAGAUGAUUCUGAGUUACUAAAAUGUACUGUUGACAGAAUGACAACUUUUCUUCCUGCUUUGGGGAAGAAGAAAAUGAUGGCUGGGAUUCUUUAGUUUGGUUUCUUUGGCAAUGGAAGAGGAAAACCUUGUGAGAACCUAAACUGAGGGGCAUUCCUACUAAAACCUAUUGGGUCACAGCCAGCAGGCAGGCCAACAGCACAGACUAGAUAGGUCUCCCUAUAAACCUUAAUGACAGAGUUGGUCAUGCUGUGUGGCUGGACCAGCCAGCGGCAGGACCAACCUAAGAGGCCUUGAAGCUACCUCUGGAUGAACAAUCAGGGUUCUGGGGCUUCUAGUAAUUUGAACAGUAGCUCAGGGAAAACCUUAGAUGGGCUUUUGAUUUAAAUUCUUUCCAAACUAGUGAUUGUUCAAGGUACCACCUGAGUGACCAUGUUAUAGGCGAUUCACCUGGCAAACUGUCCCUUGAAGGCUACCCACCAUCACACAAGAUAUACCAGCCUGAUCUGAACAUUGCAUAAUGUGUACCUGUAUCAAAAUACCACAAGGGAACCAUGUGCUGGUAGCUCAUGACUAUAAUCCUGUCUACUCAGGAAGCUGAGAAAUGAGGAUUACAGUUCCAAGUCAGCCAGGGCAGAAAAGCCCGUAAAACCUUUAUCUCCAACUAACCAGCAAAGAGCCAGAAGUGGAGCUAAGUGGAGCUGUAGCUCAAGUCACAGAGUGAAAUGCCAAACAAGAGAAUGAGGCACAGAGUUCAAGCUCCAAACUGGCACAAACACAUAAAGUAGUUUUAUAUAAAAUAGAUUAUGUAACAUUUAUUAUGCAGUAUAUAAUAUAUUUAUAGAACAUUAUAUACAUCAGAUAUGACACAUAGUAUAUAUGUAAUCAGUGUAUUCAUAAAUAUGUACAAUUAUUAUUGUCAGUAGUUUAAAACAACAAAAGAGAUAUACCAGGUUCCAGGACCAUGAGUUGAAGGCUAUGGACAGAUUUCCUCUUAUAAACCAUCUUCUGCACAUCUGGGUUUGUAAAAA